rnacentral:rRNA from 1 species
GGAGCUUGCUCUGUGGGAUCAGUGGCGAACGGGUGAGUAACAUUUGAGCAACCUGCCCCUGACUCUGGGAUAAGCGCUGGAAACGGCGUCUAAUACUGGAUACGAGUAGCGGCCGCAUGGUCAGUUACUGGAAAGAUUUAUUGGUUGGGGAUGGGCUCGCGGCCUAUCAGCUUGUUGGUGAGGUAAUGGCUCACCAAGGCGUCGACGGGUAGCCGGCCUGAGAGGGUGACCGGCCACACUGGGACUGAGACACGGCCCAGACUCCUACGGGAGGCAGCAGUGGGGAAUAUUGCACAAUGGGCGGAAGCCUGAUGCAGCAACGCCGCGUGAGGGAUGACGGCCUUCGGGUUGUAAACCUCUUUUAGCAGGGAAGAAGCGAAAGUGACGGUACCUGCAGAAAAAGCACCGGCUAACUACGUGCCAGCAGCCGCGGUAAUACGUAGGGUGCAAGCGUUAUCCGGAAUUAUUGGGCGUAAAGAGCUCGUAGGCGGUUUGUCGCG